AGAGAGAGAGAAAGAGAGAGAGAAAAGGAGAAAAAGAGAGAAGAAAAUAGAAUAAAAGAAAAGAAAGAAACAACGAACUUUACCGAGCUCGCUCUGGAGACGACUGAAUGCGACGUGAUGUGUGCUACCGAUUUCCGGAUUAAAAGUGCCAGAAGCAGAUGGACCUGUCGUUGGACGUAAAGCGCUUAUGAUGUUAGAUUAUAUAUCACAAUUUUCGUACUUGGCUGACAGCUUUUUAAAUUUCGCGAAUGGAAGGGACAAGUACGUGCCGGGUUGCGUCUAUUACAAAAUGAAAAUUUUUUUUGAUUUAUUUUUUUUUGAAUUUUAUUUUUAUUAAGAACGAUAGUUAAUUAUGCGUUAGAUUAUGCGUUAAAUUAAUUUAAUAAUAAAUACAAAAAUCACGCGUGAUCGUUAGCCAGCCAACGGUGUCGUUAGAAGCAUUUUCUUUUCUUUUUCUUCCUUUUCAUUGUUAUUUUUCUUUUAUUUUAUUUGUUUCAUUUUUUUUUCUUUUUUCUUUUAUUUUUCCUUUUCCUUUCGUUCGUCAUUUCCUAUCACAUGUCGAGACGCAUCGUUUAUUUUAAACAACGUACGUACAAC